rnacentral:rRNA from 1 species
AUGCAGUCGAGGGGUAUUAGGAGCUUGCUCCUAAGAGACCGGCGCACGGGUGCGUAACGCGUAUGCAAUCUACCUUGUACAGAGGAAUAGCCCAGAGAAAUUUGGAUUAAUGCCUCAUAGUAUAUUGGGUCGGCAUCGACCUAUUAUUAAAGAUUUAUCGGUACAAGAUGAGCAUGCGUCCCAUUAGUUAGUUGGUAAGGUAACGGCUUACCAAGACGAUGAUGGGUAGGGGUCCUGAGAGGGAGAUCCCCCACACUGGUACUGAGACACGGACCAGACUCCUACGGGAGGCAGCAGUGAGGAAUAUUGGGCAAUGGAGGCAACUCUGACCCAGCCAUGCCGCGUGCAGGAAGACGGUCCUAUGGAUUGUAAACUGCUUUUAUACGGGAAGAAACACUCCGACGUGUCGGAACUUGACGGUACCGUAAGAAUAAGGAUCGGCUAACUCCGUGCCAGCAGCCGCGGUAAUACGGAGGAUCCAAGCGUUAUCCGGAAUCAUUGGGUUUAAAGGGUCCGUAGGCGGCCUUAUAAGUCAGUGGUGAAAUCUCCUAGCUCAACUAGGAAACUGCCAUUGAUACUGUAGGGCUUGAAUUAUUGUGAAGUAACUAGAAUAUGUAGUGUAGCGGUGAAAUGCUUAGAUAUUACAUGGAAUACCAAUUGCGAAGGCAGGUUACUAACAAUCGAUUGACGCUGAUGGACGAAAGCGUGGGUAGCGAACAGGAUUAGAUACCCUGGUAGUCCACGCCGU